rnacentral:tRNA from 1 species
UUACAGGGAGACCUGCCCACUCAAGUUACCGAGAACAAUGUAAAAGUUGGCAAGAGGUAAUGAGUUGGUCAUCCCAGGUCGGUCGUAGGAUAGUAAUAAGGCUUUCAAACUAUAGAAAGGUUCGUGAAAUGGGCUAUUAGCUCAGGUGGUUAGAGCGCACCCCUGAUAAGGGUGAAGGUCCCUGGUUCGAGUCCAGGAUGGCCCACCUGAAGAAUUUGAGAUUGGAGAUUUGAGAUUGAAGAAACAUCAAUUCCAAAUCGCAAAUCGAAAAAUCGAAAGUUCAGUUUGGGGGUUUAGCUCAGUUGGUAGAGCGCCUGCUUUGCAAGCAGGAUGUCAGGAGUUCGAGUCUCCUAACCUCCACCUUUAGAAGAAACAAAGGACAAAGUCUAGCACCUGAGAUCAAAGAAUCAGACUGCUGGGUAUUGUUCCAGCCAGAACCUUGAAAACUGCAUAGAGAAGCGAAAGUAUGGUAGUCAGUAGUCAGUGAACAGUUACCAGGAAUCAAAGAUUGAUAGCUGGUAACAGAGAACUGAAGACUGAACAGACACGAAAGUGUAAAGAAGU